rnacentral:rRNA from 1 species
UGGGGAAUAUUGGGGCAAUGGGGCGAAAGCCUGACCCAGCGACGCCGCGUGAGGGAAGAAGGUCUUCGGAUUGUAAACCUCUGUUGAUAGGGAAGAAGACAGUGACGGUACCUAUCGAGGAAGUCACGGCUAACUACGUGCCAGCAGCCGCGGUAAUACGGAGGAUGCGAGCGUUAUCCGGAUUUAUUGGGUUUAAAGGGUGCGUAGGCGGCGCGUCAAGCCGGUGGUAAAAUUGCGGGGCUCAACCCCGUAGAGCCAUCGGAACUGGCGUGCUUGAGUGGAGAAGAAGUAUGCGGAAUGCGAGGUGUAGCGGUGAAAUGCAUAGAUAUCGCGCAGAACUCCGAUUGCGAAGGCAGCGUACUAUUCUCCAACUGACGCUGAGGCACGAAAGCGUGGGGAUCGAACAGGAUUAGAUACCCUGGUAGU